GAGGGUGUCAAAAAGCCCGUCGAGGGAGC
rnacentral:sRNA from 1 species